UACGUAGGGUGCAAGCGUUAAUCGGAAUUACUGGGCGUAAAGCGUGCGCAGGCGGUGAUGUAAGACAGGUGUGAAAUCCCCGGGCUUAACCUGGGAACUGCAUUUGUGGCUGCAUCGCUGGAGUGCGGCAGAGGGGGAUGGAAUUCCGCGUGUAGCAGUGAAAUGCGUAGAUAUGCGGAGGAACACCGAUGGCGAAGGCAAUCCCCUGGGCCUGCACUGACGCUCAUGCACGAAAGCGUGGGGAGCAAACAGG
rnacentral:rRNA from 1 species